rnacentral:rRNA from 1 species
ACCAGCAUCCAUAUCACUCUGCAACUCACAACUGGCAGCCCACUGAAGCUAAGCAGGUGUGAGCCUGGUCAGUACCUGGAUGGGAGACCUCCUGGGAAAAACUAAGGUUGCUGCUGGAA